CAGUCUGGAGCUCAUAUUUAGUGGGUGACACAGACAACAGAGCAGCAGCUCAGAUGCAUGCUAUGAGGUGUGUGGACAUUAGUGACAGCAAGAACCAUAGAGCAGGAAGGAAGGACAGAGGGACAACUGGGAAGCAGCACUGAGCACCUCUCCAAGGAGGUGCUGCUGGGGUCCUCAGGCUCUGGACCACUCUGCACAGACUGAGGAGCAGGACCAGUCCUGGAGGGAGCCUGCCUGGGUCAUCAGGACAGCAGCAGAGACAAGAGGGCCCUAGAAACUCAGGCCCCAGGGCAAGUGUGAAAGGAGGAGAGGACUCAGACUCUGCUCUGGACCAGGAGCAGAACUCCCUACGCAUCUCUGCAGAGAUUCUCUGGAUACUAUCUCCUCUUUCACAGGCACCUGACCACUCCUCUAUCAAGAGUCCUCCUCCAUGCUCAGCAUACUCCAUUUACAUGGCACAUGGACCCUGCUACUCCUGGAUCAGGCCAUGUCUGUCAGACGAGAUGUCCCAUUGCUCCAUGUGAUGGUUUAGAUGUGACGUGUUUCCCAAAAGCUCAAGUGUGAGGCAAUGUAAGAGGAUGUAGAGGUGCAACGAUUGGGUUGUGAGCCGCUUAGCCUACUGGGUGCAUUUAUCCACUGAGGGAUGACUUGGUGGCAACUGUUGGCAGGCAGGGUGUGGUUGAAGAAGGUGGGUCCAUAGAGGUGUGCCUUUGGGGAUUUUAUUUUGCUUUUGUUGAGCAGAGUAGUCUCUCUCUGCUUCCUGUGGCCAUGUACCCUAUCCUUCUGCAGCCCUGAGGAAUGGAGUCGGCCAUCUAUGGACUGAGACCUCUGAGAAUGUGACCCCCAAAUAAAUUAUUCCUCCUUGAAA